rnacentral:lncRNA from 1 species
GUGAUAGUAGAGGCCUUGACAAUAUAGUAGUAGUGAUGAUAGUAGCGGUGAACCGGUGAUAUGGUGAAAGUGUGGUGGGGCAAAAAUGGUGAAGAGGUGGUGGAGAUUAUAGUUAUUAUGGUAAUAGUGGUAGUGGUAGAGAUGACAACAAUAAUGACAAUGGUAAUGGUGAUGGAAACAACAAUGGCAGUAAUAACAAUGAUAGAGGUAGCGGAAACAUAAUGGUGGGGGGAAAGAGACGAUGGC